rnacentral:rRNA from 1 species
UACGUAGGAGGCAAGCGUUGUCCGGAAUUACUGGGCGUAAAGCGCGUGUAGGUGGUGGGACAAGUCUGCUGUGAAAGCGCCUGGCUUAACCGGGCGAGGUCGGCGGAAACUGUUCGACUCGAGGACGGUAGAGGGGGGUGGAAUUACCGGUGUAGCGGUGAAAUGCGUAGAUAUCGGUAGGAACACCAGUGGCGAAGGCGGCCUUCUGGACAGUGACUGACGCUGAGACGCGAAAGCGUGGGGAGCAAACAGG